AGCCAAAGAAUUAACCAUAAUGUUGAACUUUUCCCAGGGAAGCAGGAUGUAGUGUGUCCAACAGGCACCAGAGCUGUUCCCAGUCUUCCCAGAAAGAGGGAUCAUUUUGUCAUGACAAGGCUGCUUGGAGCACUGUCAAUCCCAGCCAGCUCAGAGAAGAGGAUUCCCCAAAUGCUGGUCAUGCCUUCAUUUGUUAUAUGAGCCAUAUGCACUCGCUUGUCAACACCUAUGGGUACAGGAUGCCUGGUGCUAAACCAAAAAAUCACUCUGGGAAGGAAACUAGGCUGAAACCCAGCUUGGCAAUGAUGCUAGCACACCACAACUGUCUUACAGUGAUGACAGCUGUUUUUUGUGGCAGAAGAAACGAGGUGCAUCAAAGCAUCUGA
rnacentral:lncRNA from 1 species